AAUUGCGGCAGCAGGUUCGCCUGUUGCCACGCCUGGCCGAGAGUCGGCUUACCAUCUAUCACGGCGCCCAAUUGGCCGUGGCUUGGCCUGAUGCCAUCUGACUAAUUGCCAAUCUUGUAUUGGUGUCAGAAUAUAUGGCGCUUGCCUAACCUUACGGAGCUAGUGUUCUUACGUGUAUACUCCUUCUAUAUAUCAUUAUAAUUACCCUGGAGUAUGCAUGUUUGACCUGUGUACGGGAACACGAUAAGUGUAGACUUGGUUUUACUUGUUCUCCUUCGCCUUUGUGCCUGCGGGAUGAGUAGUGACCUACUGGUGAGGUUCGCUGCCUAAUAAGCAUUGUGAAACUCACUUAGGUACCUGCUUGUAUCGAAGUGCGCCGCUGGUGAGUAUGGAAGAACUGCCCGUGCAAUGUGGUGUACAACGCUAAGUGUCUGUUGUUAUUAACAAAAUGGUGUAACAGUUUGUGGACUGCGUGUCUGUAAACGGCUCUAUGUGC
rnacentral:rRNA from 1 species